GGAUGUGAGGGCAAUCUGGCUGUGACAUCUGUCACCCCAUUGAUUGUCAGGAUUGAUUUGGCUGAUUUGACUGGCUAGGCAGGUGUCCUCUUCCUCCCUCACUGCUCCAAGUGCAUUCCUUCCCAAGCUGAGUGCCUGGUGGAAGAGGACAACCACUCUUGAUAGAGGAGGACCAUUUCCUUGCCCAAGGGUAUAAGAGUAGCUGCAUUCCCCUGCUAGAACCUCCAAACAAACUCAAUAAAUAUUUGUUUAUCUUUGUACAGCAAUAUUAAUACUUAACUCAAGGAAUACAUUACCAUUAAAU
rfam:Heterocephalus glaber contig161053, whole genome shotgun sequence.